AUUGAACGCUGGCGGCAUGCCUUACACAUGCAAGUCGAACGGUAACAGGCCGCAAGGUGCUGACGAGUGGCGGACGGGGGCGUAAUGGAGCGGAACGUGCCCAGUCGUGGGGGAUAACUACGCGUAAGAGUAGCUAAUACCGCAUACGAUCUAUUGAUGAAAGCGGGGGAACGUAAGGCCUCGCCCGAUUUGGCGGGCCGAUGUCAGAUUAGGUAGUUGGUGGGGUAAAGGCUCACCAAGGCAACGAUCUGUAGCUGGUCUGAGAGGACGACCAGCCACACUGGGACUGAGACACGGCCCAGACUCCUACGGGAGGCAGCAGUGGGGAAUUUUGGACAAUGGGCGCAAGCCUGAUCCAGCAAUGCCGCGUGCAGGAAGAAGGCCUUCGGGUUGUAAACUGCUUUUGUACGGAACGAAACGCAUCUGGUUAAUACCCGGCGCUACUGACGGUACCGAAAGAAUAAGCACCGGCUAACUACGUG
rnacentral:rRNA from 1 species